AGAUGCCACCGAUUCGCACGUGUUGGAGCAUUUCACGGAUGGCUUGACUAUGAAGUCCACAUUGUAGUGAUUUUCCCUUCAUGUAUUAUUGAAAAUUGACCUUAGUGAAUUGUAGCUUUGCGGAUGUGCUUACCAAAUCUGCAACAGGUCUCCUAGGUCAGAGCCACGGUGCAGGAGCUCAGGUUUCGGUGGAGAGAUGAUACAGUGAUGAGAAGAUGUGCCCAGCAGCUAGCUAUAGUGGAGAAUUGAUUCGUCCGAUCCCCCCACCCCUGGCCUUCUACAGAGAAGCUGAGACUCGUGUUCGAAGUCGGUGCCCUACCGACAAAGGUGGUACAACUCUCACCAGAUGACCUCAGAGACGAGAGCACAAUAACAUACUGGAAGAUAUGAUGCUAGAAGCACACAAAUAAGCUAACCUGGUGCAAGCUGUGAUUCCAUGACCCAUCCCCGCUGUGACCCUGUUCCUGGAAUUGGCAAGGUGUUUUUGAAGUAUGCAGAUGCCAAGAGCUCGGCCAGGGC